GUGUCAGCAGCCGCGGUAAUACGGAGGGUGCAAACGUUGCUCGGAAUCAUUGGGCGUAAAGCGCACGUAGGCGGUUCAGUAAGUCGGGUGUGAAAGCCCUCGGCUUAACCGAGGAAGUGCAUUCGAAACUACUGAGCUUGAAUACUGAAGAGGAUCGCGGAAUUCCCGGUGUAGAGGUGAAAUUCGUAGAUAUCGGGAGGAACACCAGUGGCGAAGGCGGCGAUCUGGGCAGAUAUUGACGCUGAUUUGCGAAAGCGUGGGGAGCAAACAGGAUUAGAUACCCCAGUAGUCC
rnacentral:rRNA from 1 species